rnacentral:rRNA from 1 species
UACGUAGGGUCCGAGCGUUGUCCGGAAUCACUGGGCGUAAAGGGUGCGUAGGCGGGUCUUUAAGUCAGGGGUGAAAUCCUGGAGCUCAACUCCAGAACUGCCUUUGAUACUGAAGAUCUUGAGUUCGGGAGAGGUGAGUGGAACUGCGAGUGUAGAGGUGAAAUUCGUAGAUAUUCGCAAGAACACCAGUGGCGAAGGCGGCUCACUGGCCCGAUACUGACGCUGAGGCACGAAAGCGUGGGGAGCAAACAGG